UUUCCGUAGGUGAACCUGCGGAAGGAUCAUUCACAAUAAGUGUUUUACUGCACUUUUUAAAAAUAGUACUCACCUUGUGUGCAAUGCUGUGUUUCUUUUCGGAGAAACACCUACACCAACCUAUAACCUUGAACCACUUUGUCUGAAAAACUAUUAUGAUACUUAAUUCAAAAUACAACUUUCAACAACGGAUCUCUUGGCUCUC
rnacentral:misc_RNA from 1 species